UCUGGAUCCUUUCGCUGCGCACUUUCCGACUGCGCUCACCGGCAGCCAGACGUCUACGUUCUUCCGUCCGACGAUCUGCGGCUCGUCGUUGUAGCUUGCGUGUCCUCUUGAAGGAAACAGGAGCACAAGAUGUUCCAGACGCUCUAUUAUGACUUACCACCAAUGUCAACAGAAGUUCUCGCUCUCCGUAAGAAACUCUGGGAAGCCGAAGGCAUCCAUUUAAUUUACAACGUUCCCCGUUUCGGUGAAGGCAUCCGAAUGAAGGGUCCCAUGCGGCCCUUUGCUGGUCUUUGCGUCGCCUUUCUUCUACUGCUGAGGGAAGACCGGCAGUGGUG